rnacentral:rRNA from 1 species
UACGUAGGGUGCAAGCGUUGUCCGGAAUUAUUGGGCGUAAAGAGCUCGUAGGCGGCUUGUCGCGUCGGCUGUGAAAACCUGGGGCUCAACCCCGGGCCUGCAGCCGAUACGGGCAAGCUAGAAUUCGGUAGGGGAGACUGGAAUUCCCGGUGUAGCGGUGAAAUGCGCAGAUAUCGGGAGGAACACCGGUGGCGAAGGCGGUUCUCUGGGCCUUACCUGACGCUGAGGAGCGAAAGCGUGGGGAGCGAACAGG